UGGCGCUAACAAGAAGGCAGUUCCGGGAAAAAAUCAGGCAAGGUGGUUGGAAAAGUGCAACCGGUGGUGAAGUUGCUGAAAAACGGUAACAUAUUGCCGCAUCAUUAUCGGUUUGCCACAGUUUUCUCCACCACAGGACCCGAAAAUAUUCUGUUCCGCCAACAAGAGCCAGCAACUUUGUCGCCAGCACGCGAAGCGUGAAUUUCGUCCGGUCAUAUCACUCUCGGAACCACAGAUUUCGCUUGGCGGCAGAGGCAAAAAGAAAAUCCGCCACCACCAAAAGCGGACACGAGGUGAUCGCUGGGGAAAAUUUAAACCAGCUAAAGAAAAGGGCCGUAAGAGUGAAUAGACCAUCAUUUUUUUAAACUAUUCCCGUUGCUGAUCGGAACUCUUCAUCCGACAGGGCCUUUUUUUUAUAUGCGGCUUUUGCAAACCGUUGCGAACCGAUCGUCAGACGACUGGCUCGUGUAUCGGCACCAUUGCCGUACACUUCGCUUUCCCUCUCGGGAACAGUGGUUUAUAGCAGAGCGUGGAGACGAAUCCCGGGAACCACUUGCCUCGGAACUGAGUUGCCUGCUUGGCAUAUCGUUUGGGUUGGAAAGACCACCAAUUUCUCCCCUUUUGAGCACCGAGCGGCCAGAUAGCAGCUGUAGAAAGAGGAGCAUCGCAUAGCCAAUCCUUUUUUGGGAUCUGAAGCAGAACAUUACCGAUCUUGGGACAGCUGAUGACAGAGCGGUUCGACCCUUCAUCGAGAAAACACUGGGUCCACGGAACCGCUGCGAACGCGUACAGCUUGCAUGUGCCUUCGAACACAGUCGAGGGUGAAGGAGUUUUUGCCAGGAACGGACGACAUCUUCGGGCACCGGAUCCCGAAACGAACUCGUGCGCUUGGAGGAAGCGUGAGUUUUCUUCAGCCUCAGAUCGAAGCCAAGCAUCAUCAUACAUAAAUCAAGUUCCCGCAAAUCGGACCGGGUAAUCAGACGUGACACGGAGGAGGGUCGCGUAAAGAAGAGGAAGUGGGGUGAGCUUACGGUGCGGUGCAGCUUUCUUCGAGUGACUUCGUGGUGAGGAGCCACAAAUCAUACGGUGCGGCACGGGUGAGGUCAACCGAAGCGUGUCGCACAAGCAGCGAAGGUCGACGAAUUUGUUUUGUGCAAGGAACAACGGUGAAUUGGAUUAGCAAGCACACCGAGCGCGGUGUACAGUAUACGACACGGGUGAGGUCAACCAAAGCGCGUCGUAUCUCGCCGGAGCCAAUGGCACUGGGACAGUGGGAAGCCCGCAUUUCGUCGUGCAAAAUCAUCGAGCCUGAAGUAGCUCCGAAGAGGGCAGUGACGUCGUCAAAGAUGGUGCAGAAUAAACACACACAGACUAAGAAUGAUGGGACGAAAACUGCAGUACUUUGUGUCCAGCACCAGGGCAAUAGGAAAGCUACUGGUCAUGGAAAACGAGCUUAUCGUCGGAGAUAGCAGUGAAAAACGAGGCGCAGAAAAUGGGCUUCUGCGUUGUACGUCGAAAUCGGUCAAGGGAGCUGACAUGAAAAGCAGUUCCGUGGCUCCUCUAGCUAAAGGUGAGAGCAAAGGUGUUGCGUUUAAUAGAAGGUCCAGAGAAAGGCCGCCGUGAAAACGAACAAAUUGACGGGAUGGAGUGGAAAACGAAGCAUUUUACGUUGAGGACGAUCACUGGGAGAUGUUCCGACUUGGGUAGUUAACCAUGCAAAGAAUACCAGAAACCGGUAACGUGCGGUCAACUUUAUUUGUGAUUGUGUCAAAGAAUUGCGGAAUAAUAAUAACGAAGAGAUUGUGUUGCUACUGGAAUCCUAACAAGUUUUAUAAAAAUACCAAUGAAAGAUUUAAUUAUAUGUACGUAAGAAAAUUCUGUCUCAAUUUGGGAUCUUAUAUUAUAACUGUUUUCUGCGUUUUUUGAAUGAAUUUAGUAUUUUAAAAUGGAUUUAAAUUAAAGAAAACCAUAAAA